rnacentral:lncRNA from 1 species
CUUUUUUCCCCUUUUAUGAUAACAAUAGAAAAUGGAGCAUAAUGGAAAGCCAGAUUGACCACUUGUUAUUUUUAGGAGAAUAGAAGAGUUUCCUGGAGGAUGUGAUUCUCAGUGUGAAAGAAGAGGUUCUUUUCAACCUCAUGAAAUACAGGGGUAGCUGAACUAUACGAG